GGGGAAUAUUGGACAAUGGGCGCAAGCCUGAUCCAGCCAUGCCGCGUGGGUGAAGAAGGCCUUCGGGUUGUAAAGCCCUUUUGUUGGGAAAGAAAAGCAGCCGGCCAAUACCCGGUUGUUCUGACGGUACCCAAAGAAUAAGCACCGGCUAACUUCGUGCCAGCAGCCGCGGUAAUACGAAGGGUGCAAGCGUUACUCGGAAUUACUGGGUGUAAAGGGCGUGUAGGCGGGAAAGCAAGUCAGAUGUGAAAACUAUGGGCUCAACCCAUAGCCUGCAUUUGAAACUGUUUUUCUUGAGUGUCGGAGAGGUAAUCGGAAUUCUGUGUGUAGCGGUGAAAUGCGUAGAUAUACGGAGGAACACCAGUGGCGAAGGCGGAUUACUGGACGAUAACUGACGCUGAGGCGCGAAAGCGUGGGGAGCAAACA
rnacentral:rRNA from 1 species